GCUCCAGGAGUGUAUGGUUUUACCACGGGGUUCUUCCAGAGACACUGGUCUCUUCUUAAGGAUGAUAUUAUCCCGACGGUUUUGGGUUUCCUGAAUGGGGGAGAGCUACCGGAGGGCAUGAACGACACGUCAAUUACUCUCAUUCCCAAGGUACGACACCCGCAACGCAUCAACCAGUACAUACCUAUUUCCCUUUGUUCUGUCAUGUACAAAAUUGCAGCAAAGUGCAUCGUCAACAGAACAAGGGGCUUUCUAGAUGAUAUCGUGAGUGAGGAGCAAAGCGCUUUUCUACCGUGGUGACUCAUCACUGAUAAUGUGCUCAUUGCACAUGAGAGCGUACAUGCAAUGAAGAGAAGGAAAAGGGGGAAGAACUCCGUGUGCACAGUCAAACUUGAUAUGAUGAAGGCAUAUGACCAUGUAGAAUGGCACUAUCUUGAAGGGAUUACGUCUAAGCUAGGCUUCAGUGUCUCAUUUAUCCGGUUGAUUAUGAAAUGUGUCACAUCAGUCCAAUUCUCAGUUCGUGUGAACGAUGAGCUCUUGCCAUACUUCACCCCAUCUAGGGGCUUGCGGCAAGGCUGCCCCGCUUCACCUUACCUAUUCCUGCUCUGUGCAGAAGGCUUCACAACCUUACUUAACAGGUUUGGAGGCGCCUAUGUGGACAGAGGGAUCCGUGUCAGUAUUCACUCUCCAUGGAUCAACCACCUGCUAUUUGCGGAUGAUAGCCUCAUUUUCAUGCAAUCAAAGGUGGAGAGUGCCCUCAGACUUAACAACAUUUCGAAGGUUUAUGGCGAGUGCUCGGGACAAUUCGGGAAUAAUGAAAAGAGCUCCAUUCUUUUCAAUCCGAACACAAAGGAACCUGUCAGAGCAGCAUUGAAAGGAACCCUAGGUAUAUCGGUCGAGUACUUCAAUGAGAGAUACCUGGGCUUGCCGACUACGGUAGGCCGUAUCACGUCGGGCACCUUUGAUUAUAUCGGUGAACGAGUGAGGUCCAAAAUGAAUGGAGGAACCGAACGUUUGGUUUCAUGCACAGCAAGGGAGGUGUUGAUAAAGUCGAUGGCCCAAUCUAUAUCGACAUUCACAAUGAGCUGCUUCAAACUGACCAAGAAAAUUUACAAAGGAAUAUCCUCGCCGAUGGACAAGUACUGGUGGAGCAGCUCCAUUGAUAGGCGUUCCAUGCACUGGACAGACUAGAAAUCUCUUUCAGUCCCAAAGUGCAAGGGAGGGAUGGGUUUCCGAGACUUGGAAACAUUCAAUAUUACACUACUAGGAAAGCAUGGUUGGCGGCUGACAACAGACCCGGAAUCCUUAUGCUCUAGGGUUCUCAAAGGCCGAUAUUUCCCAAAUGUUGAUUUCUUGCAUGCUACUGUGCCGAAAAACGCCUCUGCGACCUGGCGAGGCAUUAUAGCUGGGAGGAAGGCACUGGAAGUUGGAUUAAUGAAGAGGAUAUGUGACGACACUUCUGUUAAUAUUUGGACUGACCGGUGGCUGCCCGGAAAACUAUCUUUGCGUCCGUCAGUUCAGAUUGGAGAUGCCAAUAUCCACACAGUCUCGGACCUAAUUGACACUGACAAUUGGAAUUGGAGAACUGGGCUAGUAAGAUCAAACUUUACACCACCAGAUGCAGAUGCGGUCUUAAACAUACCACUCAAAUAUGGUGGAGGUGAAGACUUUUGGGCAUGGGCUCAUGAGAGGUCAGGGACAUAUACUGUCAAAUCCGCGUAUCGUGCUCUAAUGACUCGCAACGAGUAGCAAGCUCUAGAGGAAGGGACAAUUACUGAAUAUUCAGAGACUGAUAAACAGAUGUGGACACGGCUAUGGAAGCUCAAAGUUCUGCCCAAGGUUCGGGUUUUUUGGUGGCGAGUACUCCGGGGAAUCCUACCGGUGGAAGCCACACUAAAACACCGCCACAUUGCGACUGAGGCUCGAUGCAAGGUCUGCAAACGUGCAGAUGAGGACAUGUUUCAUGCACUCAUCAAGUGCUCUCGUGCCCGGAGCUUCUGGACUGAAGCUCAUUCAUGGCUGAACAUCAAGUUACCAGAACUCCACCCCCUCACUUAGUGCAAGGAUAUUCUGUGUGACGCUCAAUUCGUUGAGGAAGACCGGGCCAAGAUCAUAACUGUUAUGUGGGCUAUAUGGACAUCUUGCAACAAUAUAACACAUGACAAGAUUAGUCGGAAACCGGACCAAUCCUUAAAGCGCAUUAGGGAAACUCUAAUGUUAUUGGAGCUACUGAUGGAACAUACCAGGAUCUUACCUGGCUAUGGGUGGAGGCCACCUGAUCCAGACUACAUCAAAAUCAACACGGAUGGUAGCGUGUCUCUGAAUGAAAAUAGAAGCAGGGUGGGUGGUGUUGCACGGACCCCCUCUGUCGGGGAUAUACCCCGCGAUGUAACCCGGCUGGAUGUAUGACCCGGCUGGAUCUUGGCGACUCACUGGUGACCCACCCGGAGCUUGGCGAUUCACGGGUAACCCGCCCGAUCUUGGCAACUCAUUAGUAACUCGGCGGGCGGGACAGACGGAAGACAAGGUCCAAGGCCUAGUAGGCCAGUUCAUAUGAUGGUGGGCCGGCUUAAGAGGAAAGGCAUAAGGAAUAUUCUCCUAUAAAGGAAGCAAGACUAGGACUCCACUUGUAAUAGAGUAAUCCUAAUCCUACUAGGACUAGUCAUGUAAACCGCCCCUUCGACAUAUAUAAGGAGGGGCAGGGCACCCCAAGAGGGGAGAAAAAUAAUCUUAGGGCUAGACAAACAGCAUGUAGGGCUAUUACAAGACGAUGUUUCCCGGCCCCGAAGCUGUCUAAAUCCUUGUCUUGUGUUGCGUCUCUCGAUUCCGCUCAAGCCCUCUCAAGCUACCACAUAGAUGCGUUGGCCUCACGACUAAGUCCUCACACUAGGACAUCUACCAUGACAAUUCCACGACAAUUCCACGACACCCUCCGACUUCAUUGCUGCCUGGAGCAAGCCGCGUGAGAAUAUCAUGGAUCCACUUACCGCAGAAGCACUGGCCCUGCGAGAUAGUGUUAUCUUCGGCAAGCUUCGGGAUUUUUCGCGGGUGAUCCUCGAGGUCGACUGCUUGGAGCUGGUUCAGCUCUGGAACUCGCGACAGUUCUCGCGCUCUCUUAUAGCGCCUAUUCUUCUCGAAAUUGGAGGGCUAGCCUCAUCGUUUGAUUACUUUGACAUUCAUCAUGUAAUGAGACAAUCCAAUACCUCAGCUCACCUGUGUGCGAAACAUGCAAGCACUCUAGGCGUGUCUGAUUGUUGCAUGAACUCUCCCCUGGCUUCCUCGUGACUAGCCUUAUGACUGAUCGCGCUGGUGUUGUUAGUGAUUGAAUAAAGCUUGAUGAUUCCCACAAAAAAACUACCAGAAAUACCGGAACAUGAAAAGUGUCCGGGAAACUUUGCAGAAAGAAACUCGCACAAAAGACUAUUACCAUUAAGCCCAUUGGAGUUCCUGCAAACAACCAAAUUUGAAACCACCAUUGAUCGCCAGCGUCGUCGAGGCACACACUAGGUGAAGAGGCAGAGAACCAACAAACCAAAAUCCAGGCUAUGCGUUGUGAGUCGAAGACCAGACCUGCAACGCAGGUACUUGACGAUGUGGCAUGUCAGCUGAAGUUGUUCCCCACGCCAACCUAGAUCCAGAUCUGACGCAUCCCACAGCUGUUGCCGGUGAAGAACGCCAAAUCCGCCGCCGUUGUACCACCAACCUUGUACCCACACCAAUCUGUCCCACUUGCCGGCGCCGCCAAAAGAGACGGCAACUGCCAGACACAGGAAACAUAGGGCCUACCGAUCCGAACAAACGGCAAGCAGAUGAGGCAAUCGGCUCAGCGGCGCCUUCGGGAAGAACGUCGCCGUAGUGAGGAAGAGACCGAUGCCACCUUAUUCGACGCAGCACCAACCUCACCAAAAUGGCGCUACUAGACGAAGACAAAGCCCUAUAUCUAUGGAACAACAGGGAAAGGAACAGGAGCCCACCCCCCUCCACCAGCCGCCGGGGCAGCGGACGGAGAGGGGUGGAGAUCACAGCCUCGCCGGCGUCCAAACACAGGCACGAACCGUCGCCUCUUCUAUCGCCUUUUCUUUGUUAUUUGAGCGAACUACGGUGCCCUUUUAGUAUACCCCUUCGGUUCUGCGGGAAGCUACUCUCCCCCCAGCUUAUUUUCCAUUGUGAAGAAAAGAUAGGUGGAAAUAAGUUGAGCCAGCUUCUCAAAACGAGUUCUUUUGAACAUCUAAUUUAUCAAAAAAAAAAAGGUUUUUUGAACAUCUAGCUUAUUUCUGCCGUAAGCUGCUUUUUUUAGAGAGAAAACCACCUGACCUAUCAUUAAUUAAUCUCAAGCUGUACAUAGUCAGGGGGGUCCAAAAGCCACAAAUAGCGGCAUGGCACCAAUUCAAGAGACUUUCUAGCUAUAUGGUGUGCAUCAAAGUUUCCCUCACGUCUUUCAUAUCUAAAAGAUACAUCCCUAGUCGUCGUCUUCAUUCUUUGUAUUUCUUAUGUUAUCAUCAAGCUCAUGCCUCGGCUGCCUUCUUCGAUGCUGCAUACCACAUUUGCGCAGUAUGACGCAACAACAACUGCUCUUAAAUUCAGGUCUUGACGCGGUAAAAGAGCUUCACGAAAAGCCAUGGCUUCAAUACAUUCAAGAUCAAUAAUUCCAUCAGUAACAAGCACCGAAGCUCCCAUGAACACUCCCUCUUCUGAUCUAUAAAUAGCAGUAGCUGCGCUUCAUUCAUUUUCUUUUGAGACUGCGCAAUCACGAUUACCUUUCACCUUGCCUUGUGGCAGCGGAAACCAUGUGAUUCUCCUGUCCCGAUCUAGUCCCCUUGUUUUGUGUGUAUCACCAUUGUCUAGUCCUGCAAACUCAGCCAAAAAACUCGUAAUAACAUUGCUUGUGGCAACAGGACUUUGAUAGAUACCUUCAUGAAUCAAAUCACGCCUUUCCUUCCAUAGAGUCCAGAGAGUAACCAUAAAAUGACGAACUGAUUAUGAUUCAGUUGCUCUUCCAUUUCAAACAGGCAAUUUUUAGCAUUAGUUUCUCCACAGCUUCGAAUCCGAUCAUAUAUCUCCUCAUCAACUAGGACCCACACACAGCGUGCAGUCCGACACUCUAACAAAAAAUGUCUCCACGAAUCAUCCCUCGCACAAGCUAUACACUUGGACUCUGUAGCCAUGUUUCUAUGUCUCAAAAUAUCCACAGUUGGUAGACUUUGUCUAGCCAACUUCCAAGCAAAAAUCCUGAUCUUCCCAGGUAUUUUAUACUUCCAGAGGCUAAUCCAACCCUUCUGUUCCUUCUUUAGAUCAGAUAUGCCAGAAUUACCUUCAAUCCAGGCCUCUCUUAUGUUUCUUGUUUGAAUAAGGAACUUUGUGUUUGAGAGUGUGGUUUUCUGUAGCUCAGGCUACAUGGUACCCCUUAUCUUUGUCAUCCAUUUCUGCAUCACGAUCCGUGCAAACGCAUUUGUCUUUUUUUCUCUCAAACGACACAACAUAUGCACUUCAAAUUUUAUAGAACAACAAUACAUUCUAACUACAAUCCGGGAAAAAACUUUCAAAUUUUUUCAUGCAUUUUAGAUACUUAAAAUAAUAUUUUUAGUCAAACAAAAUCUCAUUUUGUAUAUUUAUAUCAGACCAAAAAAUCUGAAAGUUUUUUCACACGUUGAUGUUCUAAUGUUUGUUCGAUCUGCAAAGUUUGAAGUUCAUAUGUUGUUUCAUUUUAGAGAAACAAAAAAGAGAAAUCUUCUUGUUUUAAGUUAGUUAGAGAGUAUGGAUCUCAAAGCAAGGCUGGAGGGUUGAGGAUAAGAGGUUCCAUGUAGCCUGAGCUACAAAGGAACUUUGUGUUUGAAUAAGCAUUCGAUACGCAGACCUGACACAAAAGUUUCCUGAUUUCUCCUUGCAUCAUGCCCAUCUAUCAUCCAUGCCUAACAGCGGCGAUGGAAUUUGGCGGACCACCUCCCUAUCAAUUGGAAGUAGUUGUUCAUUUAAGGCUUCUAGGUUCCAAAUUCUGUUUACUUGAUCAAUUAAUCCACUCACCAAUAGUGAAGGAUCGUCCUUCACUGGCGCUAGCGGCCUCAUCAUAUUCUCUCUUGGCAACCAAUUAUCAUUCCAUAUGUUUGUUGAGUACCAAUCCUUUUAAUAAGCCCCUGUUUUAGCACUUCUCUUCCUUCUAAGAUUGAUCUCCAAACUUGAGAAGGCCUAGUCCCCAAUUCUGCUUCAAGAAACUCACAAUUCGGAAAGUACACAACUUUGAGGAUUUGAGCACUUAGUGAGUUUGGUUCCUGUAAAAUUCUCCAUCCUUUGCUAACAAGGCCAAGUUGAAAAGUUCCAUUUUCCUAAAUCCCAUACCACCCAAAAAUUUCGAUUGGCACAUAUCCUUCCAAGAGACCAAGGCAGUUUUCGCUCUCCAUCCCUUGAUCCCCACCAAAACUUCCUCAAAGAUGAAUCAAUAUGCUCUCACAAUCCUCUUGGAAGUUUGAAACAUCCCAUAGCAUAGGUAGGUAGAGCUUGCACAACCGAUUUUAUCAAAAACUUCCUUUCCUGCAACCGAUAGCAGUUGCUCAAUCCUUCCCUGUAUCCUUUUCCAUAAUCUAUCACUUACGUAUUUAAAGACACCAUUUUUUGCCCUUCCUACUUCCGUUGGCAUACCAAGGUAUUUCUCCGAAAGCGCUGCUGAAUGCACUUGUAAAACCUGUUUCACUUCGGCAUUCAAAUCAUUAGGACACUUUUUGCUGAAGAAAACUGAUGAUUUCUCCAAGUUUACCUUCUGGCCAGAAGCAUUACAGUAUAGAUUCAACACCUCUCUUAUUUCAGAUGCAGCUUGCGGGGAAGCUUUCAUAAAAAAAUAUACUAUCGUCAGCAAAUAAGAGAUGGCUCACCCUUGGUGCCAUAAGUUGUUUUUUUAGUCUAAACGCACUUCCUUUAUUGAUUAAUAAUGUUCAAAGGGAUACAAUUAAAGUUUGGGGGGUUUAGUAGCCACACAUGGCGCCCUGAAUGCAGACCAAAAGCGUGUUUAGCAAGGCUAUGAGCCUCUUGAUUAGUUUCACGACCUUCAAAGAUGAAGGUGCAGUGUUGAAAGAAUGCCAAAGUAUCUCUGAUCUCCUUCACAAUGGUUGCAUACAUUCCUCCAAUGCCAAGGUUGAUGUCCCGCACUACGCCCUUGUAGUCUGAAGCAACAACUACGUGAAAUAAUGACAGGUCAAGAGUAAGGGCAAGUGCUUCCCGGCAAGCUAGUGCCUCAAGUGUCGCUGGAUCGGUGAUGCCUGCGCAUCUGGUCACCGAUGACCCCAGGAAGUUCCCCUCGUAGUCCCUGCACACCGCACUAUAAGAUCCUUCAUCGUUUGCUCUGUUUAUGGAUCCGUCAACUCUGAUCUUGGCAAAGCUCACUGGUGGGCGGAUCCACUUGGGUUUUCUGUUAGUUGAUGUGGAUGCGGGAUUGUGUUGCACCUCUUUGGGUUUGCACUCAUUAAGUUCUCGGAUGUACUUCAUAAUGAACUGGUGCGUUGCCAUUGGACUCUGGAAAAUAUUUUCAUGCGGUGCUUACCGUUGAGAGAACCAGAUGCCCCAAAGGGUUAUCAAUACCUAGGUAAACUCCGCUGAAGGGAGCACGUCCAGCAGGGCGAACACCCACCGCUUUGCAUCAGGCUCGGUGGUUUCAUUUAAGAUGUGAUAGAGUUCAGGAGCUUGUAGAGCCCAAACCGAUCGAGCAACAUGACAAUGCAAUAAAGAGUGCUGCCAAGAAUCUGUAGCUCCGCAUAGCCCACAUAACAAGUCCGCUCUUGGGAUAGAUUGUUGGGCCAGUCUCCACAGAAAUUUUUUGACCUUUGAAGGAACAUCUAUCUUUCAUAACUUGGACCACGAUUUCUGUUCACCUUUAGAGUUCAAAGAAUCUGGUCUUCCUUCCAGCCAUGCCUCUCGGCUGUACUUUGUGGAAACUAACAUGCGGUACGCCGAGUGUACUGUGAAAAUUCCAUUAUUUACAUAUGCCCAAGACCAAAAAUCAUCUAUCUGUUUUUUGCAUAGUGGAAUUGAGAAAAUCGCCGCUGCAUCAAUGGGUAAGAAUACUUCAAGGACUGUUGAGCGACCCUAACUAGCAUCUAGUAAGUGCGGUGGGUUUGCAACUUUGCUCAUGAUCGGCCCCAUGUUAUGUGCACGUGGUAGCCAAUUGUGCUGCCAUAUUUGAGUUGUCUGGUCGUCCCCGAUACGAUGUAUGAGGCCUUGCGAAAGUGUGUCCCGCCCCUCAAGGAUAGUUCUCCACACCUGGGAAGGAGAUGGUCCAAGCUCUGCAUGCAGGAAAUCGCCCAUAGGGAAGUACUAGCUAAACCCGCGCGGCGACAUGCCGUGCUUGUUGAUUAUUCGCGACUAUGUAUGUAGACUACGGUAUAAGCAAUAGAUUAAUGAAUAAUCAUUCACUGUUAAUUAAAGAGAGCCAGAACAAUACACUAAAAGACCGAAGAUGACAAAUAACUAAAUUUAUUAUGACCAUGAAAAUGCAUGGAUACAAACAGAGAAGUUAACAUUUACACACCUCUAAGACAAACUAUUUAUUGAAAUCAUAUACAGCUCACUCUACGCAGCAAAUAGUAUAUAGUGGUACAAACACACUGUGAUAACAAGUCACAAACAAUCUUCGAUGGAUUAGAUCAUCCUCGUAUAUCCCCCCUGCAGGAUUAGUGCCCGUAAUAAAGUGGUACAGAGCUUUUGCAAAUUCUUGGACACGCCCAACAGGUGGAUAUGCUCCUGUAAAUGUAAUGAUAGGAUCCUCAUUGUGUGCACGCUGAGGGUACAUGUGGAGUGGUAAUAUAUUAGAGAAAUUGUUGCAUAUUUCUGCUAAAAUCAUUGUUUGCCUUGUGAACUCGCGUCCGUCGGUAAAUCAUAACACGCCGCACCGUUGUUGAUUGGUUAUGUGCGAAAUUUUGUGUACAGUGAUGUGACUGCUUUCUUAGUUAAAGCUCUUAACAGAUGGUUAUCCAAGUGCCAAAUGCUUGAUUAGUUCAAACUUACAACCUACGCAUAAGUUCCCCAUAUUUAACACGAUAAAAUGCAAAAAAAACAAUCUGCACGAUAAAAUGUAAAAAUAUACCUCGCAUAGUCUUUACUUCAGUUUCAGGAUCUUGUAAGUACGACGAUGUAUAGUUGAAAAACUUCAAAAAUAGUACACUCAAGUGGUCCUGAUUAGAUAAUAGAAGCGCAGAAAUAGGAGUCUCCCUCAGCUUAAAAAGAAGCCUUCAUAAGCUUAGAUGCUUAACUGAAUUUUGUCAGAAUAAUCUACUCUAUGCUUCAGCUACGUGUUACAACACAUGGCAUCGGUGCGCUUCAAAGGAUUAAUCUCCAAGGCUGAAGAAUCGCCCUAGACCUGUUCAUACAUUGUAAGACAUGGCAAAAUCAUCUCCCUUCCACACAUAUUGCUCUCGAGAAGAAGAUUGUAAACUAAUUAACAUUUCAUCAAUUAUUGUAUCACCAUCAGAUGAAAAAAAAACAUUUCCACAACAAAAAGCUUUCACGAUCAUAGAAAACUUGCACUAAGCUCCAGAUAUAUCAGGACGUGAUCUACAUGUUAUCUUGUCCUGUUUGUAUAAUUAAGAAAAAAACAGAUGAUUUCCCGACACUGUUCAACACCUUAGAAAUUUUAGAAAAACAAAUCCAGCAUAAUCCAUAAAAGGCUAUUCCUGGGAAAUCUAAUAUCAUGGACUUGUUCCUGCAUUCAUCGUCGUUCAACCAAUGGCAUGGCGCAGAAUUGCAGAACACCAAAUGAACGAACUACUUGAGGGGGAAAAUAUCAGGUGCUACGGGAGAACCUCACAUUAGGUGCUCCCACGCGACCUCGGCCGUCGAUCUGCGAUCCAAUGGGCUGUAUCAAGGGAUGUGGACCAAAGUGUCAUUUCAGGAAUGUUUGAGGGAUUUCUGCAAAACAUUAAGGCUGGAUUUGUUUUUUAUUUCUCAAUGUUUAUUUUGAAAUUUGAUUUGAAAUUUUUAAAAAUUAUACAUUCAUGUGAUGCUAACAUCCAUAAUUUUGUUUUGGAAUUUUCUGGAACUUUUAAACAUGCAUUUUGAAAACUGAGAGCACCUAAUGUGAGGUGCUCCCGUAUCACCAGAAAUUCGACUUACUUUUGCACUAGUAUAUAUAUUUUCACGAAAAAACAAAGUUGACUUCACAGCGAAAAAGACAAAAUUUAUUUGCUAUUAUAGGUCACUAUUCACACUAUUUUGGCCAAAAAAUUGUCUUUUUUGUAAAAAAAUUCAAAGGGAGAUUUUCUUUUUGUGAAUUUUUUCGCACAAGUACAAUAAAAGGUCAAGUAUAUUUCACAAAUAUUUUCAGGAAUUUUUGACUUUUUGUUGAAUUACUAAUUUUUUCAUAUAGGGUGUAGAUGUCCCCGUAGACCAAAAAUCUGCCUCCAACUACAACAGCUGAUGCGGAGCAUCCCUCGACUACCCACACGGACACUCCAUCACCACCGCAAGCACCGAGAGGACCAAUGACAAGAGCACGUGCAUGUGCCAUCGAGGACGAGGUGAACUCCUUCCGCUUCGAGCUCCAUUCAAAUUCACACGAGAGUUGGGUCCUACCUCAAACGGAAGUGUUGUGCAUGAUUAGGUAUCAAGGUGUUGAUCAAGAAGAGGAUAGCACAAAGACCCAAGCAGCCGCAAAGAAGACGGAGGGAGAAGAACAAGCGAAGCACGAAGCUACGAAGAAGGCACAAGUGCUUGGACACCCCGGGUGCCCGACCCCCCUUCCCCCGGGUGCUCGGCCAACUGGCCCCGGGUGNNNNNNNNNNNNNNNNNNNNNNNNNNNNNNNNNNNNNNNNNNNNNNNNNNNNNNNNNNNNNNNNNNNNNNNNNNNNNNNNNNNNNNNNNNNNNNNNNNNNNNNNNNNNNNNNNNNNNNNNNNNNNNNNNNNNNNNNNNNNNNNNNNNNNNNNNNNNNNNNNNNNNNNNNNNNNNNNNNGUGCCCGGUUCCCUCUAGCCGGCCACCAGCCCGGUCCGGGUGCCCGGCCUGUGCUAGCCCGGGUGCCCGGCCACCGCUGAACAGCCGCCCCUGUCCGGUCCGGGUGCCUGGACCCCUUUGCCCCGGGUGCCCGAACCCCUCCGGUUGCCUGCGUGCACUUUUGGGUUUUGGACCAUCGUAUCCCCCUCUCCCUCACAUUUCGUCCCUAGACUAUAUAAACACCUCCCCUAGCUCUUUUGGAAGGUUAGCAAAGUAUUAGAAACACAAAGAGAGAGCUUUGCUCAUCUUCCUCCUCUUGGAGAUCUAGACCUCCUCUUGGAGAAGCUCCCUUGGAGAUCAUGCCCUCCUCUUGGAGAAGAUCCUUUUGGAUAUCAAGACCUCAUCUAGUGGGAAGAACUUUUACCCUGGUGCUAUUUUCCUUGAAUUGUUCAUGUAUGCUUGUGGAUCUCUUGUAUGCUACUCUAGUGGAUGUGUUAUUUGGGUUUGUUAGAGUGAUUUUCUCCUUGUGAUUUUGAGUGUUCUUGCUCUUUCCCCCCUCCAAGUGUGAAAAGAUCCCCUCUAGGGUUUCACCCUACAAUAUCUUGGUAUCAUGAGCAAGGUUGAUUCACAUCUUGGAGUCUCAUCCCCCAUUUGCUAGCUUGAUUUUGUUGUUUUUCGUCCAAAUUCAAAAAUCCCCACAAAUAUAGCCCCAAUUUUUUUUCUUGCAAUUUGUUAGAUCCUGUGAGAUUUGGUUGUUUUGGUCCAUGGAUUUGUUGUUUGGCAAGUGGAUCUAGCCCCUACCCAUCAAUCCCCACCCUUCCAACCACGAAAUCCACGGAAUUUUGCUUUUCCCCGAAAUUUUCCGCCCAAAUCGAAGACCACCGGGUGCCCGCACCUCGAACCACCGGGCACCCGCACCCCCGGGCACCCGCACCUCCCACCCCCGGGUGCCCGCACCCCCACCCCCCGAAUCAGCCCAACUUCACCACCAUUUUGGCCAUAACUUCCAACUCCCAAGUCCGUUUUUCGUGUUCUUUAGCUCGUUUGGAAGCUCUUGACAUCCCCCAUCCACAUAUAUCUUUACCACCACCAUUAGCCUCUACCAAAGAAUUCAUCAUAAAAGCACCCACCUUCCGCAUUUGAUCGAUUUUGAGUUGCGGUUUCCGUUUCCUAAGGUGUUUCGGCUACUUAGGAACAUGUGACAUCGACAUCACCGCCCUUCAUCAUCGCCUCGGAGUCGUCAUCGCCAACAAUCUUCACUGUUGACAACGCUAACCGUAAGAAAGGACGGUAACCUCGACGACACUUGCUUCAUACCAUUGCUUUUGCAUUGAUAACCCGAGCCAUUUUGCGUCACUUACCCAUCGAGACUAGCGAGUUGAGAAUUGUCAGGCCACGCUAUUGUGCACCAUAGUGAUCUUGCUAUCAUCUUUGUGCCAUAAGUCUCUCCCGUGCAUAUCUUACAUACUUGUCUCAUAUCAUACUUGGCUCGAGCAUCAAUCAUAGUGAAAAAAAAGAAAAGCUUUUAAGCAAAAGAGGAGAAUAAAAGAGCUUGUAAGCAAUAGCAUUGAGCCAUUUUGCAUCGGUAUAUCAUCUUGGUCACCAUACAUAGCAUAGUUGGGAUUGAGAUAGCACGUUUCUCUCAUAGGUUGGUGCACAAGCGUAUCUUGCCCAUUUGAGCAAUCGAGCUAGCGUCUCUCUAGCAUUCGCACAACAAGAGCAUUUUCCAUGGUUUCAUAUUUUGAGCUCACCCCUUGGUUGUGCGGAUCCCAUCUAUCUUCCGUGUGUGUGUUCCUAGUGAUAUUCUUGGGUUUGAUCUAUUUGCUUUACUUGCAAAUUUGUGAACCUUCUCAACCUUAUCGAUAUCUUGACUAACAUUUGCUUGAAAUUUUUGCCACCAUCCUAACCGAGCUACUCCAUAAGCUUUAUUUGUCUAGGUGUGAGAAACAAACCCGAUACCAAUUCUCCUAUUGUGGCAUUACAUUGAGCGAUACUUGAUACAUCCACAAUCCUCAGAAAAGGUAACUUCAUUAUUGUUCUCUCAUUUUCCUAAUCACCCCAUUUGGUUAUGAUGGAUAGGCCAAAUUCUUCGGCGAACCCACUUUUCGAGGAGCAAGGUGAUGAUCGCGACUACGUCACCAAGAACCACUUCUUCGUCGCGCAAUGAGCUCUCCAUCAAGAAAGCAAAGCAUUGGGUGAACGCAUGGAGCAACUCGCCGCCGACCUUCAUCAAUCGGAAGCAAGGAACCGAGACUACAUCGACGCCAAGUUCACCACACAAAUGGAAGAACUCCACAACAUGAUCGUGCGACGCCCGUCUUCCUCAACCUCUUCAUUAAGACGGCGCCACUCAAGCCACCGCUCAAGUCGGCAAUCUUCGGACUACUCCUCUUACGAUGCAAGUCCUCCACGAGCUCGUUUUCCUCGACGUGAUGACCCCCAAGAUCGCCAAGCGCAAGAAAAUCCAUUCCAUGGCAAUGGCUUACAAGACCGAGUCCGAGCACGUGAUAGGGCGCGACAACAAGCACAAGAAGCAAUGGAGCAAGAGCAAAUACCUCCACAAGUGCAACGUCAACCACCUCAAGACGGUGAUGCAAUUCGACAAGCAUAAGAGAGCCGUGAAGCACAAGCCCUCGAACGUGAAGCUCAAGCACUCGAAGCUCAACGCACACUCAACGAGGCCACUAGAGCCGUCGAAGAGCGCAACCGCCAAGUCUGCAAACAAGAAGAUGCACUUCGUCAAGCAUGACAAGAAGAAGCUGCUCGACUUGAAGAGCAACAAGAAAGGCGAAACCAAGCGCAUAUUCCUCGUCCUCCUCCACGACAAGAACGACACCAAGUGGAACAAGUGCUUCGAGACCCUCCUCGACACCAAGAGCGACAUCUUGAGGAAUGAGCAUUUGAGGACCUUCCUCCACGGCAAGAGCGACAUCAAAACCGCUACUAUGAUGAAGAACUCCGCUACGGCAAGCUCAAGUUCACCAUGCCCAAGUUCUCCGGAAGAAAUGAUCCCGAGGAAUAUCUCUCAUGGGCCUUGAAGGUGUACAAGAUAUUCCGCCUUCACAACUACGACGAGGAAACGAAGAUCGCCAUGGCCUCCCUCGAGUUUCAAGACUACGUCCUCAUUUGGUGGGAACACGUGAUCGAGUGACAACAAACAAGAGGUGAACCACCAAUCACAACUUGGACGGAAAUGAAGGAUGUCAUGAGAGCUCGCUUCGUGCCUACACACUACACCCGUGAUCUCUUCAAGAAGUUGCAACUCCCUAAGCAAGGCACGAACACGGUGGAAGAAUACUACCAAGAAAGGGAGAUUGCCAUGAUACGAGCCAAUGUCAAGGAAGAUGACGAGCAAACUAUGGCAUGCUUCUUGAACGGCCUCAACCACCCAAUCAAGCGAAUUGCCGACUUCCAACCAUACUCCAACCUUCUUGAGCUAGUUCAUCAAGCGACCAAGGCCGAGCGACAAGUGCAAGAUGACUUCAAAUACGCCAAGUACUCAUCCAAGACUUAUGGCUCCUACUCUCAAGCUCCCGCAACUUCGGCACCUCCUACCUCAACUAGAGCAUCACCAAGUACCGGCGACAAGUCAAGUUCCAAGCAAGCUAUGCCUUCCUCGACUCGUCCUCCGGCAAGCACCUACAAAUCCAAGACUCCCUCAUCUUCGGCGCCACCAAAUGACCCCGUCAAGACAAGUUCAUUCAAGUGCUUCACAUGUGGUGGCCGAGGACACAAGUCCUUCGAAUGCACCAACAAGCGAACAAUGAUCUUCAACGAUGAUGGCACAUACGACUCAAUGAGUGAAGAAGAAAUGGAAGCCAUUGAGCACGUGAUCAUGCACCGGCGUGUGAACGAAGAUGAAGAUGAUCAAGUCUUUUGUGACAACGAUUCAAGUCCCUCUCUCGUGGUCUCCAAGGUCUUGACGCUCCAACACCACCAAGAAGAAGACAACGGUGCCACAUCUUCCACACCAGUCAUCAACGGGCGUUCCGUGAAAGUCAUCAUCGACGGCGGAAGUUGUCACAACUUGGCAAGUGAAGAAUUAUGUUCCACGCUGCAAUUGGCCAAGAAGAAGCACCCUUGUCCCUACAAGGUAAAAUGGCUAAGCGACUCCGGCACUAUUCAAGUGGAGCAUACAGUGCAAGUUUCCUUCAAGAUCGGCGCUUAUGAGGACACCUUGGAGUGCGACGUGGUUCCUAUGUCCGUGUGCCAUCUUCUCUUGGGAAGACCUUGGCAAUUCGACCGCGGCGUCAUCCACAACGGAAGAACUAACCACUAUUGUAACGCCCACGAUGCGGCUAUAUCUCCCACGUGUCGGGGCACGACUUAGAGGCAUAACCGCAUAGUGGUUUUGUCGCAAGAAGGGUCAUCUUCACACAAUCCCAUGUAAUGAACAAGAAUGGGAUAAAGAGUUGGCUUACAAUCGCCACUUCACACAAUACAUAAAUAUCAUUCAUACAUCAUCCAAAAUACAAUCAUAUAGACCGACUACGGUCAAAAUCCAGAUGAAAAUAAGAUAACCCCAAAUGCUAGAUCCCCGAUCGUCCCAACUGGGCUCCACUACUGAUCAUCAGGAAAAGACACAUAGUAACGACCACGUUCCUCGUCGAACUCCCACUUGAGAUCGACGCCAUCAUCUGCACUGGCAUCGUCGGCACCUGCAACUGUUUUGGUAGAAUCUGUGAGUCACGGGGACUCAGCAAUCUCACACCCGCGAGAUCAAGACUAUUUAAGCUUGUAGGGAAAAGGGGUGCAACGAGGUGGAGCUGCAGCGGCAAAAGCAUAUAUGGUGGCUAACUUGCGCAAAUGAGAGCGAGAAGAGAAGCAACGGAACGGACGUCAUCUAGCAAUGACCAAGAAGAGGUCCUGAACACCUACUUACGUCAUACAUAACUCAGACCGUGUUCACUUCCCGGGCUCCGCCGAGAAGAGACCAUCACGGCUACACACACAGUGGAUGUAUUUUAAUUGGGUCAAGUGACAAGUUAUCUACAACCGGACAUUAACAAAUUCCCAUCUGCCUCAUAAUUGCGGGCACGGCUUUCGAAAGAUAAUACCAUGCAGGGGUGUCCCAACUUAGCCCAUCAUAAGCUCUCACGGUCAACGAAGGAUAAACCUUCUCCCGGAAAGACCCGAUCAGUCUCGGAAUCCCGGUUUACAAGACAUCUCGACAAUGGUAAAACAAGACCAGCAAAGCCGCCCGAAUGUGCCGACAAAUCCCGAUAGGAGCUGCACAUAUCUCGUUCUCAGGGCACACCGGAUAAGUCAAGCUACGAGUAAAACCAGACCUCGAGUUUCCCCGAGGUGGCCCCGCAGGCUGCUCGGUUCGGACCAACACUCGAAGGAGCACUGGCCCGGGGGGGUUAAAAUAAGAUGACCCUCGGGCUCGCGAAAACCCGGGGGAAAAGGCUUAGGUAGCAAAUGGUAAAACCAAGGUUGGGCCUUGCUGGAGGAGUUUUAUUCAAGGCGAACUGUCAAGGGGGUCCCAUAAAUCACCCGACCGCGUAAGGAACGCAAACUCAAGGAACAUAAUCCCGGUAUAACAGUAACUAGGGCGGCAAGAGUGGAACAAAACACCAGGCAUAAGGCCGAGCCUUCCACCCUUUACCAAAAUAUAUAGAUGCAUUAGUUAAAUAAGAGAUAUUGUGAUAUCCCAACAUAUCCAUGUUCCGACAUGGAACAACUUCAACUUCACCUGCAACUAGCAAAGCUAUAAGAGGGGCUGAGCAAAAGCGGUAACAUAGCCAAACAACGGUUUGCUAGGAGAGGAUGGUUAGAGGCUGACAUGGCUAAAAUGGGAGACAUGAUAAAGCAAGUGAUAGGUAGCGAGCAUGGCAAUAGAGCGAACAACUAGCAUAGCAAAGAUAGAAGUGAUUUCGAGGGGUGGUCAUCUUGCCUGCAAGGUUCUCAGAGUUGUCGAAAGCUUGAUCCUCGUAAGCGUACUCGACAGGUUCCUAGUUCACGAACUCAUCUCCCAGCUCUACCCAAGACAAGAACACAAACAAACGGAACCACAAUCAACAACGAGAAAUGCGCAAGCAACAUGAUGCAAAACAUGUAUGAUAUACAAGAUAUGAUAUGCGCUGCAUAUGCGUGCUACGGAGGGGAAAUGAUGAACAUGGAAGUAAAUUGGCAAACCAAGCAUGCCACUGUAAAGAUGAGAUGAUUUCGUUCGAAAUCGAUAUAAAGAUCACCGGAAUCGGAUGCACGGUUUGCAAAUGGCAAGCAAAACAAGAAUGACACGAAUCUGCGAUAAACAGCAAGAUAGCACUUAAAAUGCAACAAACAACAAUGCUACAGCACCCCAACAUAGCAAUAAAGCAUAUGACAGUAAACUACAGGAGAUGAUUGACAAAAUAUGAAGACUGAGCUACGGCUAGUUCACAACAUAUCAAGCUCAAACAAGCAUGGCAAAAGUGCAAAAGAUUACAGGUUCACAGACUCUGCAGAAAACAGAGCAUGGCAGAAAUAUUAAUAUGUAGGCCUCUUUGUGAGCUUGAUGCACUCACUACAGAGCAAUGCAUGACAAACCAAACAUACCUACACCAAGAUGGCAUGUUUAUGAAGCUAUCCAUGGCAAGAACAAUUGCAUAGAAUGUAUGGAUCAACUACAAUAGGCUUGGCAAAAUUGCAUAUCAUGUUAAGAAUCUGCCAGAAAUAUUUUAUAGCAAAAGUAGAGCAAGAUUGAGUCAUGCUAUGGCACUCCAUAAUUGCAAACAAUUGCAGGAAUGGAUCAAUUACAACUAUAUCUACAAAACAUACUUACUGAACAUCUCCAAAAGAUGCAUGGAUCUCUCUGUAGCAUCAAGCUUACAUGGCAACAAAAUUACAACAGACAAGGACUUGGAGAAAUCACAGUCCCUGAAAUCAGAAAUAUUAUGGGGCCUACUUUGCAUGAUUGUGCUAGUCACCACAGAGAUCACAAAAAUAUAUGAACUACACCACUGGAAAGAUGGCAUGGCAUACUUCAAAACACAUGUAGAGCUCAUGCUCAAAAGAUGCACAGAUUAAAUGAUACAAAAAUACAAAAAUGACAAAUCUCCAAGUUCUGAUAAGAACCAGAGAAUAACAGCAACUAGCCCUCUUCCAACAGAGAUUUGGGCAUCAAGAUGACCUCUAAUGAACAUGGUGCAAUUUAACAAAAUGAAGAGCAUCACGAGACGAACAAUUUGACAUAUUACACGCGUGAAUCGAAGCUACAUACAAGAAGUUAUCGCAAUACGAACAAAGCAAGAUGCUGAAAAAAAUCGAGGACUUAGAGAAAUAAGAGGGGGCGAGGAAGUCAACGGGGCUACCAGAUCUGGAUUGAGGCUGAGCCCCUCGAGCUCGAGCUCGUCGGCCGGCGAGGAAGGAGGGAGAGGGCGGCAGCGCGGCUCGCCGGCGGGAGGGGAGAAGAGGCCGGAGGCGNNNNNNNNNNNNNNNNNNNNNNNNNNNNNNNNNNNNNNNNNNNNNNNNNNNNNNNNNNNNNNNNNNNNNNNNNNNNNNNNNNNNNNNNNNNNNNNNNNNNNNNNNNNNNNNNNNNNNNNNNNNNNNNNNNNNNNNNNNNNNNNNNNNNNNNNNNNNNNNNNNNNNNNNNNNNNNNNNNNNNNNNNNNNNNNNNNNNNNNNNNNNNNNNNNNNNNNNNNNNNNNNNNNNNNNNNNNNNNNNNNNNNNNNNNNNNNNNNNNNNNNNNNNNNNNNNNNNNNNNNNNNNNNNNNNNNNNNNNNNNNNNNNNNNNNNNNNNNNNNNNNNNNNNNNNNNNNNNNNNNNNNNNNNNNNNNNNNNNNNNNNNNNNNNNNNNNNNNNNNNNNNNNNNNNNNNNNNNNNNNNNNNNNGGUGGGAGGCCGGAGGCGGGCGGACGUUGUCCGGUGCGGACGUUUUCGUCCGGCGACGCGCGGUGGAGAAGCUAGGGUUCGUCUGUGAUUUCGUUUUUCGGGGGAGAUGGAGUUUUAUAGGUAGAGGGAGCUAGGAGGCUCCAAAUGAGGUGCGGUUUUCGCCCACACGAUCGUGAUCGAACGACCUAGAGCAUGGAAGAGAGUUUGGUGGGUUUUGGGCUGGUUUUAGAGGGGGUUUUUGCUGGACACUCAAAUGGACUUUGCGGAUGCCCGGUUAACCGUUGGAGUACCAAACGACCUUCGAAUGGAACGAAACUUGACCGGUAGUCUCCGGGUGGUAUAUUAAGACCACUUGACAAGCCUCGGUCCAUUCCGAGAAAGUUUGACACACGCACACGAAAGAAAACAAGAGGGGUGCACCGGAGGAGAUAGGAGCGCCGGAUUGCAAAACGGACAACGGGGAAAAUGCUCGGAUGCAUGAGACGAACACGUAUGCGAAUGCAAUGCACAUGAUGACAUGAUAUGAAAAUGCAUGACAUGACAAAAAACAAAACGAAAGACAAAACCCGACAACGGAGGGAAAAACAUAUCACAUAGCCGAAAAUGGCAAGAGUCGGAGUUACAAAUAUGGCAAGUUACAUGCGGGGUGUUACAACUAUAGCUUCAAGAUGAAGGGCAAGGAGUACAUACUACGACAAAUGUCACCAAGCCAAGUGAUCGCCGACAAGCAAGCUUCCACCCAUCGUGGAGAGACUAGUGAGAGAGUGAACCACCACAAAGAAAGUGAGUGCCACAAGCCCAAAUGGAGCGACUCUUCGCCAAGAGAGAAAAACUUAGUCCUCCUAGCCACAAAAAGAGAGAUGAGAGAAGUGUGUGAAAACCCAUCGAGUGUCAUCCACUAUGUCCUCCUAUGCAAAAUGAGGUGGCAAAAACUAACACUCUCCUAAUAUGCUUCCUCUAGUGUUUUCUAACUUGUUGCAGGAAUUCAAGGAUGUCUUUCCCGAUGAGCUACCUCCCAGUCUCCCUCCUCCACGUGGCAUUGAACAUCGGAUCGACCUCAUCCCUGGAGCACCUCUUCCUAACAAGGCUCCAUACCGCGUCAACCCCGAAGAAACUAAGGAGAUCCAACGACAAGUACAACAACUCAUCGACAACGGUCAUGUACGUGAAAGCCUAAGUCCUUGUGACGUUCCGAUUAUCCUUGUGCCUAAGCAAGAUGGUAGUUUUCGCAUGUGCUCUGAUUGUAGACCCAUCAAUGCUAUCACCGUUUGUUAUAGACAUCCCAUUCCUCGCCUUGAUGAUAUGCUAGAUGAGCUUAGCGGUGCCACCAUUUUCUCAAAAAUUGAACUCAAAAGUGGCUAUUACCAAAUACGCAUUCAAGAAGGUGAUGAAUGGAAAACCGCUUUUAAAACUAAAUUUGGCUUGUACGAGUGGUAGUUAUGCCUAUGGGUUUAUCGGAAGCUCCCGGUACUUUCAUGCCUCUUAUGCAUUUUGUGCUUCGUCCAUACAUUGGAGUAUGUGUUGUGGUCUACUUUGACGAGAUACUUAUUUUUAGAAAAUCCAUCAAAGAUCAUGUAAAUCAUAUUAGAGCCGUUUUGCAAACUCUUUGCAAGGAACGUAUUUAUGCCAACAUGAAAAAAUGCACUUUUGGUGUUGACAAGCUUGUUUUCUUGGGUUUCGUUGUUUCUUCCAAGGGUGUCCAUGUUGAUGAGUCUAAAACUGAAGCAAUUAAAACUUGGCCACAACCCACAAAAUUUGCAACAAGUGCGUAGUUUUCUUGGCCUUGCGGGUUUCUAGCGUCGCUUUGUGAAAGACUUUAGCACUAUUGCCGCACCGUUGCAUGCCUUGAGUAAGAAGAAUGCACCCUUUAUUGGGGGACCUUUGCAAUCUAUCGCAUUUGAUGAGCUCAAAUCCUUGCUUACUCAUGCUUCGAUUCUUGCUUUGCCUAACUUUGACAAAACUUUUGGGGUUCAUUGUGAUGCUAGUGGUAAUGGAAUUGGAGGAGUUUUGAUGCAAGAAAAGCGAGCGAUUGCAUAUUUUAGUGAAAAACUUUCCGGUGCUCAACUUAACUAUCCCAUCUAUGACAAAGAAUUGUAUGUCUUAGUGCGUGUGUUGCAUGUUUGGGAGCAUUAUCUUCGCCCACAUGAGUUUGUCAUACAUACCGAUCAUGAAACACUAAAGUACCUUAAAGGCCAAACCAAGUUGAAUAAACCACAUGCUAAAUUGAGUGAAUUUAUUGAAUCUUUCCCCUAUGUGAUCAAGUACAUUAAGGGCAAAGAGAAUGUUUGGGAGGAUGCUCUUUCCCGCAAAUGCAUAUUAAUUACUCAACUUGAAUUGAAUGUUGUUGGAUUUGAACAUAUCAAAGAUUUGUAUGAGCACGAUGUGACCUUUGCUACUCCUUUUGCUAAGUGUGUGAGCAUACAUCUUGGGAACGACAUUAUAUCAAAGAUGGUUAUCUAAUGAGAGCUAACAAACUAUGGAUUCCCGAGUCUUCUCUUCGUUUGUUACUUUUGCAAGAGGCUCAUGGAGGCGGACUCAUGGGACACUUUGGACGUGACAAGACGUUUGUCACGCUCUCCAAGAACUACUUUUGGCCCAAGAUGUUCCGUGAUGUCUCACGCUUCACCAACCGGUGUUCUACAUGCCGCAAAGCUAAGUCACAAUCUCAAUCCCACGGUUUACAUAUGCCACUUCCUACUGCACAUUAACCAUGGGAAGAUAUUAGGAUGGAUUUUGUGCUUGGAUUACCUAGGACUCAAAAUGGCAAGGAUUCUGUGUUUGUUGUUGUAGACCAAUUCUCUAAAAUGGCUCAUUUUAUUCCAUGCAAUAAGAUAGACGAUGCUUCACAUAUUGCCAAUCUUUUUUGUAGGAAAAUCUUGAGGUUACAUGGAGUGCCAAAGACAAUUGUGUCGGACUGAGACGUCAAGUUCUUAAGCUACUUUUGGAAGACGUUAUGCGCCAAGCUCGGAAUCAAGCUACUCUUCUACACGGCGUAUCAUCCUCAAACCGAUCGCCAAACGGAAGUCACCAACCGGACCCACGCCACUCUCGUACACGUGUUGAUCAAGAAGAACAUCAAGGAGUGGGAGGAGUGCUUACCCAUCGCCGAGUACGCCUACAACCACGCAAGACACUCUACCACCGGCAAGUCCCCCUUCGAGGUUGUCUACGGCUUCAACCCUUUGUCGCCGUUGGACAUCCUUCCUCUACCGCUACAAGAAUGAGCGAACAUGGACGCUAGCGCAUGAGCCACCUACCUCAAGAAGAUGCAUGAAGAAACAAGGUCCACGUUCGAGCGUCAAGUACACCACCUCGCCACCUAGCUCAACAUUAACAAGUCACCGAUGGUGUUCCAAACGGGCGAUCUAGUAUGGAUACAUCUCCGCAAGGACCGCUUUCCCAAGGAGUGCAAGUCCAAGCUACUUCCGAGAGCUGAUGGACCAUUCAAGGUGCUCGCACGCUACAACGACAACACCUACAAGGUCGACAUUCCCACGUGACAAGUACAACAUAAGCGACAUCUUCAACGUCAAAGACUUGGCCAAGUACCAUGGUGAUGAUGAUCACAAUCCGUGGACGGAUCUCUCCCAAGGGGGGAGAUGAUGCGAAGCAUCCCUCGACUACCCACACGGACAUUCCAUCACCACCGCAAGCACCGAGAGGACCAAUGACAAGAGCACGUGCACGCGCCAUCGAGAACGAGGUGAACUCCUUCCUCUUCGAGAUCCAUUCAAAUUCACACGAGAGUUAGGUCCUACCUCAAACGGAAGUGUUGUGCAUGAUCAGGUAUCAAGGUCUUGAUCAAGAAGAGGAUAGCACGAAGACCCAAGCAGCCGCAGAGAAGACGGAGGUAGAAGAACGAGCGAAGCAUGAAGCUACGGAGAAGGCACAAGUGCCUGGACACCCCGGGUGCCCGGGCCUCCGGCCACCACCCCGGGCAGGCCCUCUGCACACCCAGGGUGCCCGGCCCCAUGUGCCCCGGGUGCCCGGCCAAAACCUGGGAGGCGCCCCGGGUGCCCCCCCCCCNNNNNNNNNNNNNNNNNNNNNNNNNNNNNNNNNNNNNNNNNNNNNNNNNNNNNNNNNNNNNNNNNNNNNNNNNNNNNNNNNNNNNNNNNNNNNNNNNNNNNNNNNNNNNNNNNNNNNNNNNNNNNNNNNNNNNNNNNNNNNNNNNNNNNNNNNNNNNNNNNNNNNNNNNNNNNNNNNNNNNNNNNNNNNNNNNNNNNCGCGCUGGGAGCUACUGCUCCUCCCCCGGGUGGCCGGUUCCCUCCAUCCGGCCACCAGCCCGGUCCGAGUGCCCAGCCCCUGCUAGCCCGGGUGCCCAGUCACCCCUGAACAGCCGCCCCUGUCCGGUCCGGGUGCCCGGACACCUCGGUUGCCUGCGUGCACUUUUGGGUUUUGGACCCUUGUAUCCCCCUCUCUCUCAAAUUUCGUCCCUAGACUAUAUAAACACCUCCCCUAGCUCUUUUGGAAGGUUAGCAAAGUAUUAGAAACACAAAGAGAGAGCUUUGCUCAUCUUCCUCCUCUUGGAGAUCUAAACCUCCUCUUGGAGAAGCUCCCUUGGAGAGCAAGCCCUCCUCUUGAAUAAGAUCCUCUUGGAUAUCAAGACCUCACCUAGUGGGAAGAACUUUUACCCUAGUGCUAUUUUCCUUGAAUGGUUCAUGUAUGCUUGUGGAUCUCUUGUAUGCUACUCUAGUGGAUGUGUUAUUUGGGUUUGUUAGAGUUAUUUCCUCCUUGUGAUUUUGAGUGUUCUUGCUCUUCCCCCCUCCAAGUGUGAAAAGAUCCCCUUUAGGGUUUCACCCUACAACAACAGCCCUACUUAUUACAACCGCCACAGGGCAGCAAAAGACCACACCCAGUUCAUAAGCUACAUCAUAACAAACUACUACACUACGGCUUCAGGAGGGUGUAGAAGAAGGCUCUCGCCACAUGAUCCUAAGCAAUUCUCCUCGCUGAUGAUUGAGAAGUUUUAGGCACUCGAGGAGCAACAUAGCUUGAGCAUCUGAGCAGAGAACCUUCCAUUGUCGAACCAGAGCACCCACUGAACCCACCACGUAUUUCAUACUUCGCCAUUUUCGCCCCUAAAAAACAAAGUCAUUCCGAAAACGCUAUAAGCCCCACAAGGUAGCAGAUGUACCCAAAUUAACAGCCUCAUAUUUCUUCACAUUUUUCCAAAAGGAAGCAAGUGACUCAAAUCCACAAGGAAUUGAUAUGUGCAGAGCCCCACAUUUGUUUAGCAACAACACAGUCGAAAAAAGGAUGUUGAAUAGACUUAGGUUCUGAACAGAACACGCGGGAUAUAUCAGGGACUGCUUAACGCUUGGCUAGAUUAUCUCUGGUUAAACUCAUGUUGUGGACAAUAAGCCACAGGAAAACAUGAAUAUUGGGCGGCACUUUAAUCUUCCAAAUGUAAUCCUGGAGUUCAAUACGGACGCCCCCAAAAUUGAUCAUCCUAUAAAAGGAUUGCACAGAGUAGGUACGAGACUUAUCAAGAACCCAAACGGGUUUAUCACAGAUUGCUGAAACUGAAGUGUUACUAACUAAGCGUAGCAGCUCCAGCCAUCUACCAUACAAGGAUUCAUCUACACGUCUCCUAAAUGUUUGUUUCAAAUUAGCACCAUCCCAUCCUGCGUGUUCCUCACCGACAACAUCAGGCGCGAACAUCAUGCACAAGGGCACCCUUCGUGCCACCGCCAGGGGGCUUCGGCGCUUGUGGAUGGCCAUAAAUGGCACGCUGCUGGUGCACCCCCUACUUCUAGGACGUGACCGAAACCUCGAUGCUGAGGCUGGAGACCAGAAUCUACCGCAAGUGGCCGUUCAUGCGCACGCGCCCUGAUGUUGAGCUGAAUAAACAUGUACCACCCUGCAAAAACAGCAAAUUCAAGCAUCAUAAACAGAGAUCUACAGAAAACACUAACCAUGAUUGCUAGAAGAAACAAAAGAAGAAACCGAUACACGACCAGCCCCUCGGCGGUAUGCACACAAUGACACAAGAAAAAUAUAUCCAUGGAGGGAAAACAAGGGUUGAAAGAAUUUCGGGGCUAGCAAUAUUCAUCAUCUUCAUAUGUCAAUGGAAGCCAAAGAACAAAUAGAAAAAGAAAUUAAACAUAAUAGGGUGACUCUGAAAGAACUAAUAAACAAACUUCUUUAUAUGUAUAAUACUUAAUAAAAUCAGGAUUUUAGCAAGGAAUAAAGAUGUAUGCAUCAGCCAAUAUGAGGCAGAAUAGAAACGUCAAACAAAUGCCUUUGUGGACAGUAGAAAGUGGUAGGUUGCAUUCCUAUCUCCUCUUCUAGAAAAAGAACUGUUCUAAAAACAAUGGUAUUAAGAAAGAACUGAUUAAUAUACAUGCGAGUUCACAGCAACAACAUUCAAAGACUGAUGAAUAGAGACACAGUCACACCACAAUGCAGAAUCACAUCUAUCUUAGGAAAAAUUCCACAAAUUUUCCUUUGUUCCAGUCAGUAGAAGGUUGUUCAAAAACCUACCAUCAAGAACGCAGCUGAAUAAGCAUUGUUAUAAUUAACAAAUAAUUUAGUGUGCUAGUACUGCUAUUCUGAAGGUGAAUAAUUCGCAUCCCAAAAUUUCUACCAUGGAACAGGGAAGCAAUUUUUACUGAAGAGAAAUGAGCCCAUCUAAACAAACCUCAGUACUACAAAAUUAUUAUAAGCAAAUCUACAACAUGCUUGUCCAUAUACAACCAAUUCAAAUUAUUAUUUUUGCAUGAUCAUGUUGAAAUUUACUGCCAAGCACAUUUAGAAAAAAAUUAAGCUCUAUAGAUUGUAGGCAGCAAGGUAAUCUACAUGUAAAUUAACACCUCACUAAACUUCUUCGGUCGGGACAGAGCUUUAUAAUUGAAGCAAGAAACAGAGGAUGUUGCUCCAGGGGAGGCUCUUCAUAUUCAAUUCGAACAAAGAUGAAGUUUUACUGAUGAAUUCACAAGAAUAAUUGAACACUGCUCUCUUUCUUUUCUUAAACAAAUUCACCAUGGGGGUUACCUCAUUACGAAUCCAUACCAGAUUACAUAAUCAGUGCCACAUCAAGAAAUUUGAGUCUAAUGUAGAAAUUUUGCAUCCACCUCCAGCUUGCAUCCUUCAGGACCUAUAGGGAAGUGAUUACUAUUAUUAGUCCAGUAGAGAUAAUCAUAUGGCCCUGCCAUAAACCUGCUUAUAUAAAACCUAUAUUGAUUGCAUGAUCUAGGAAGCAGAUCUGGGCAAAUUUGCCGAAUAGUUCCGCUAGGUGCAGUCUCACAUCCUAGCAAGCCUGCAUCUUCCAGCGGCAGGGUUGUAAGGACAGCUGGCGAUACCUAUAUCAUGAAAGAAAAAUAUGUGAUUAAAUAAUCAUAUUUCCAUAUCGCAACAGUACCUUGACCAUUCUAUUGUUCAGCAGUAAACCUUCCAUUUGUAAAGCAGUAACUGGGAAUAAAUCUACAACAAUUUGCUUUUACAGUUCUCCACCUAAUUUUCAUCUAAAGCAACCUUCUUGGAGCUCUGAUGUAAGCAUGGGAGAGGACCUAUAAUCAAGCAUGAAACCAUUGCGUUAAAAGAAAGCUUGUAUAAGGAAUUAGGGAUGAAUAUCAAACAUGUACUGUGAAUCAUUUCUAAAAUAGAGCACUGCUCGUAUAUAAAAAAAUAUAACACGAAAGCAUGCACAGCUAAUUAUUCACGGAAGGGCAGUAGAGCAAAGCUAACAUCAGAACAAAGGUGAGAUACAUGCAUCAAACCAAUUCUGCACAAAUGUAAUCCCAAAAUUCUUGGCAUAUACAGGGGAAGUCCCAUAAAUUGACUCAUACAAUUCUGGUUGUUCUACAUAUGAGCACUUCAAAUCAAUUUCUGAAUAAAUAGCUAAACAGAAAGUUCAUAAAAACUCAGGGUAAAGUUCGGAAAAAAUACUGAGUAGUUUAUUGUCCUAGUACUCGUCGCCAUGGUCGUGGUCCAUCAUCUCCGUCAUGGUGGGAGGAUCCAUCGUAAAGGUGGCCUUGGCAACGGCGCCCUUGUCCGAGCCACUCGUCGGAGUGUGUCGCAGGCUAGGAGCAGGAGGCUGCCGCGAUCCACCUCACCUAGAGCCUGCUCUUGCUUGACGGAUGGGUACGGGUAGGCGGCGCGGUGGGGAGGCCAGGAGGAUGUCCUGCUGAUAGGAGAGGUCUGGAGACGGCACUGGCCGCUGCCGUCGCUGGGUCGCCGCCCCUGCGUGUCUCCCAAAAAGGGAGAGGUCGGGGCAGAGGGUCUCAUGCUGCUGCUCCGAUUGGCCGCCGCCGCGCCCGCCCGCUCGUCUUCCAUACACCAUCAACUCGGCC
rnacentral:lncRNA from 1 species